rnacentral:rRNA from 1 species
UAAUUGAAGAGUUUGAUCAUGGCUCAGAUUGAACGCUGGCGGCAGGCCUAACACAUGCAAGUCGAGCGGUAACAGAGAGUAGCUUGCUACUUUGCUGACGAGCGGCGGACGGGUGAGUAAUGCUUGGGAACAUGCCUUGAGGUGGGGGACAACAGUUGGAAACGACUGCUAAUACCGCAUAAUGUCUACGGACCAAAGGGGGCUUCGGCUCUCGCCUUUAGAUUGGCCCAAGUGGGAUUAGCUAGUUGGUGAGGUAAUGGCUCACCAAGGCGACGAUCCCUAGCUGGUUUGAGAGGAUGAUCAGCCACACUGGGACUGAGACACGGCCCAGACUCCUACGGGAGGCAGCAGUGGGGAAUAUUGCACAAUGGGCGCAAGCCUGAUGCAGCCAUGCCGCGUGUGUGAAGAAGGCCUUCGGGUUGUAAAGCACUUUCAGUCAGGAGGAAAGGUUA